AUCCCACGGACUCUUUUUGAUUUUUGCUUCUCCGACGACUGUACGUCUGAAAACAAUUCAUCGCUAAACACUGCCAGCUAUGAUGUACUAAGACACUAUGAGCACUAUGAAGGAGCUUCCCGUACAUCCAACCGGACCUUGCAGCUCUUGCAGCAGCAUUGAGAAGUUCAGGAGUCGACAGAGAAGAAAGAGGCUGAUUGAAGCGGGACAGAUGACAUGGAUCCAUCCUUCCACAGCCAGGAGCUCACCGACCUGUGUGCCACACUUCAAAUAAGACUAGAAGCUACACUGGAUCUCACAGCUAAACACCACAGACGUCUACACACUGGAGAAGAUUCAGAGUCCCGCAAAGAACUUAUGACCCAGAGGCUGCAAAGAGACAUUUCAAGCUUCACCUGAGUUUUUCACUGGAUAGGCCAGUUGUGUUUGUACAAUAUUUGUGCUGUAUGUAAAUAAAGUUUUGACUCAACA